rnacentral:rRNA from 1 species
UACGGAGGUGGCAAGCGUUGCUCGGAAUCACUGGGCGUAAAGGGCGCGUAGGCGGGGAGGUAAGUCGGGUGUGAAAUCCCUCGGCCCAACUGAGGAACUGCGCCCGAGACUGCUUCUCUUGAGUCCCGGAGAGGAAGAUGGAAUUCCCGGUGUAGCGGUGAAAUGUGUAGAGAUCGGGAGGAACACCCGUGGCGAAGGCGGCCACCUGGGCCGACCCUGACGCUGAGGCGCGAAGGCGUGGGGAGCGAACGGG